GUGACUUCGUCUCCAGCCUCUCGGCAACGACGGAGCGCCGAUUGCUCCACCGCCAUUCAACGGGUUCCCGGCGCAAAGCUUAUGUCUCCUGCUUCGUCUCAACUUCGUGGAAGUCCCUGUACGUGGUUUCCGUUCAAAGAGUGGAGCUCCAGUGACAAAGAAAAGGAGGAGAGAAAGUGAUUGUGUUUCCAAUUCCGGCCACGGCGACGAGUAAGGUUGGUGCUUUAGCUUCGCCUCAACUCGGCAAACGUCUCUGUGGUCUUUGUUUUACAAGACGAGCUCUGAGGAGGGAGAAUCGAAAGGAGGAAGGUUUUUGAGUUUCCCGGCGUUGUUCUUCGUUUUCCUGCGAGCUUCAAAUUCAGUUCAAGUAUCAAAGUUAGUCAAUUCUUCAACCUCUAUCUCUCUGUAUACUUGAAUUCAAGUUUGGUAAAGUUUUGGAGAGAUUGAGAUUUUGGGCAGGUCGUCGACCACUGUAUUGUGUGCGGUGGCGGUGCUGACCUCCUCAGCUCGUCCUUGAUUCAGUUUUUGUUCAUAAAUAUGGAUUGAUGAUUAGUAUGCUUUUCUAGAAUUGUUGAAAUUACAGAAAUGGAGAAUUGGAGAAGUUGGGAUUUUAAGUCUUCGGCGACAGAAACGGCGGUGUGGCAGUGUUUUGGUGUUUGUUUGGUAAUUUCCAAUCGAAUGAAACUACAGGAAUGAUUUUGAUAUUGUUAUGCUUGAAUUCUAGUUUUGUUAACGGAUGAAGAAUCUGACUUUUGGGCAGUGAGUUUAGCAUGAUGGAAGCAUGCAUGCUGAAUUGGAGUUGAGUCGGUUGUUGUGGCGCAAUAUGGAUACUACACGGAUUUAAGUGCAAAGACGAAUUAGGAUGUGGACGUAAAAUGAAUUGAGUAGGUUGAUUGGGAAAUUAUUGAAAAAGGUGAGAGGAUAUAAGACAUAGGUAUUUGGGUGUCCACAUCAAUUCCGAGAACUUGAUCGAUUCAUAUUUUGGAAAUAAGAGAUUUAGUUGAUAUGAAGUAAUUCGCCAACUUUAUUGGAAUAACGAUGUGUGGAUCGGAGGUGUGUUGCCAUCGUAGAAGCAGAAUGAUAAAGAUUUCAUAAUGCGCGUAGUUGCGUUACUAAUUUCAGUUAGCGUCGGAGCUAAAGCUCAGAUUCCAGAUAGGGUCUCUCGGGGAACUUUUCUAUAAAUUGAUAAUUAGAUUAUUAUUGAAAUCGGUGAAUUGUAUGCCAUUGAGUGUUAACUCUUGAAUGUUAUUGUUUUUGUUAAAAGCAUGUGAUAUCGGUGAUUUAUAUUUUCUAUAAAUUGAUAAUUAGAUUAUUAUUGAAAUCGGUGAAUUGUAUGCCAUUGAGUGUUAACUCUUGAAUGUUAUUGUUUUUGUUAAAAGCAUGUGAUAUCGGUGAUUUAUAUGAUUGUUGUUAUCGCUUUCAAUAAAAGCAUGUGUUCGAUAUUAUAAUGCGAGUGUUGAUAUUCAUUGACAUGCAUAAUGCAUUAUGAGGAAUUGUGAGAAAUAGUGAGAAUAGUGAUUUUGGAGAGGAGAAUGAGAUUGAUAGAAAAGAUAUAUUUUGUGUAGUUGAGUUUCCUCAUGGGGACUUCUAGUAGCUAUGAUUAGCUCACCUGCGCAAAUGAGUGGGAAAAGUAUGCCCCUUCGACAUAUGAGUCGAUAAAACGAUCUUUCGGGUUUCGAGAUUGGGGACCAUGAGGUUAACAAAAUGACUAAUAAAAGAGGUACUAGAGUUUGUAUAUUACUGAUUUGUUAUGUCGUAUAUUUAAGACAUCUACACGGUAUAGGACGUGUAGGUACAUAUGUCUUGGGUGUAUAGACUAAUUAGCUAGUAAUCGAGUGGAGGGAGUACAUUAACAUUUAUACAUCGAUUUGUUGUUAUUUAUUUAAAGUAUUGUUUGAUGUUUGAUAACUUGAUUGUGUGACGUAGUUAAGAAUAACUUAAGAGGUUUGGCCCUACUGAGCGUAAACUCACCCCUAUAGAUUUUUGUUCAG
rnacentral:lncRNA from 1 species